UCGGCCAAGGAUGGGGUCGCGGCCUAUCAGCUUGUUGGUGGGGUAAUGGCCUACCAAGGCGACGACGGGUAGCCGGCCUGAGAGGGCGACCGGCCACACUGGGACUGAGACACGGCCCAG
rnacentral:rRNA from 1 species